GGAAUCUUGCGCAAUGGGCGAAAGCCUGACGCAGCAACGCCGCGUGGGGGAUGAAGGCCUUCGGGUUGUAAACCCCUUUCAGGAGGGAAGAAAUUGACGGUACCUCCAAAAGAAGCACCGGCUAACCUUGUUCCAGCAGCCGCGGUAAUACAGAGGGUGCGAGCGUUAAUCGGAAUUACUGGGCGUAAAGCGCACGUAGGCGGCUCUGCAAGUCGGGUGUGAAAUCCCCGGGCUCAACCUGGGAACUGCAUUCGAUACUGCAUUGCUGGAGUAUGGGAGAGGGAAGUGGAAUUUCCGGUGUAGCGGUGAAAUGCGUAGAUAUCGGAAGGAACACCAGUGGCGAAAGCGACUUCCUGGACCAAUACUGACGCUCAGGUGCGAAAGCGUGGGGAGCAAA
rnacentral:rRNA from 1 species